AACGAACGCUGGCGGCGUGCCUAAUACAUGCAAGUCGAACGUGAAAAGGGGCAACCCCUAGUAAAGUGGCGCACGGGUGAGUUACACGUAGGUAAUCUGCCUUUUAGUGGGGAAUAACACAGCGAAAGUUGUGCUAAUGCCGCAUACGUAAGUAAUUAGAAAGGGGGCGUCCGCAAGGAGCUCUCGCUGAAAGAAGAGCCUGCGUCCUAUUAGCUAGUUGGUGGGGUAAUGGCCUACCAAGGCAACGAUAGGUAUCCGGUCUGAGAGGAUGAUCGGACACACUGGAACUGAGACACGGUCCAGACUCCUACGGGAGGCAGCAGUAGGGAAUAUUGCGCAAUGGGGGAAACCCUGACGCAGCAACGCCGCGUGAGUGAGGAAGGUCUUCGGAUUGUAAAACUCUUUUCUUAGGGAAAAAUGGAUUAGCGGUUAAUACCCGUUAGUAUUGAUGGUACCUAAGGAAUAAGCACCGGCUAACUUCGUGCCAGCCGCCGCUGUAA
rnacentral:rRNA from 1 species